GGGCUAAUCCCGCGCGCUGCCUCGCCAGCCAGAGGGCGGGGCCGCCACGGUCGCCUGGCCUCCCCCAGGAGCCGCCAGAAAGGCCGGCAGAGGGAGGCACGUGGGUGGCGCCUCUCUUGUCUUCUGCCCGCGACCCGGAUUUCGACCCAAGCUAGAAGCCAGACAGAAGAAGAGUGCGUCUGAGCAUGUACAGACUAGAGUGUGUUGCUUGAUAGUUCACGUAGACAGAACUACAUUGGGUACAAUGUUGUGGGUACAAUUCAAAGGGCUCUUCCCUAAACACCUUGAACAUCAGAGGCCUGCUGUUUUCAUGUGAAGAAAGUGCAAAGCAGCCUUCUCUGGUUCACUCACCUUCAGAGGAACUAAAGGCAGAGUAUUCCAAGGAGGUCUCUCCAUCCAGGCACUGACCAGGCUUGAAUAGGCCUAUCUUCAACAAGGAUGCUGAACAGCAUGUCAAGAGUUCACUAAAGGCUACAUACAUUUCUGAAUGGUGGUUCUGAUGAGUCAUACCUAGCCAAGUGUUAAUAAAAAGUGGCUUUUCUUUUCAAAACACACACAAAAA